rnacentral:rRNA from 1 species
AUGCCGCCGGCCAUGCAAGCAGCGGAAGGGGCGGGGCAGAGGAGGAGCGGCCCCCGGAUCCUGAUGAACGCCGCGCAGCGUGCCCUCAGCCGCGGCGCGUCGUCGUCGCUGGGGAGCCCCAGGUCGCCGCCGCCCUCCUACGGGAGCAUCGUCACCGUGCUGAGCAUCGACGGUGGCGGCGUCCGCGGUAUCAUCCCCGGCACCAUCCUCGCCUUCCUCGAGGAGAAGCUCCAGGAGCUUGACGGACCGGAGGCGAGGAUCUCCGACUACUUCGACGUGAUCGCCGGAACGAGCACGGGCGGUCUAGUGACGGCCAUGCUCAGCGCGCCCGAUGACGCAGGCCGCCCGCUCUUCGCCGCCAAGGACAUUAACCAGUUCUACCUCGACCACUGCCCCAAUAUCUUCCCUCAAGCCAGCAAAGGCCCUUUUGGCUUGAUGAGGAGCAUGAUGGGACCCAAGUACAACGGCGAGUACCUCCACACGGUCGUCAAGAAGCUCCUCGGUGAGACGCGGGUCGGGGACACGCUGAAUAACGUCGUCAUCCCAACCUUCGACAUCAAACUUCUGCAGCCCACAAUCUUCUCGACUUACAACGCCAUGAAGGAUAAAUCAAAGAAUGCUCUUCUAUCCGACGUCUGCAUCAGCACCUCGGCUGCGCCGACCUACCUCCCCGGCCACCACUUCCAGACAGAGCACGAGGACGGCAGGCCCCGGGACUUCAACCUCAUCGACGGUGGCGUCGCCGCAAACAAUCCGACCCUGCUGGCAAUGACGGACGUCAGCAAGCAGAUCCUGAUGGGAAACCCAGACUUCUUCCCCAUCAAGCCUGCGGACUAUGGCAAGUUCAUGAUCCUUUCGCUGGGAACCGGUACCGCCAAGAUCGAAGAGAAGUUCGACGCUGCUGAGUGCGGCAAGUGGGGCCUUCUUGGGUGGCUCUACAACAGGGGCGCCACACCCAUCAUCGAUAGCUUCAGCCAGGCCAGUGCCGACCUUGUGGACAUCCAUGCCUCUGUGCUCUUUCAGGCGCUUCACUGCGAGAAGCGAUACCUCCGGAUCCAGGACGACGAGCUCAAGGGCGAGACGGCCUCCGUCGACGUGUCAACACCGGAGAACCUCAACCAGCUCGUCGACGUUGGCAAGGCGCUGCUCAAGAGGCAGGUGUGCAAAGUGAACGCCGAGACGGGGAAGAACGAGCCUGACCAAAAUAGGGGCACAAACGAGGAGGAGUUGGUCAAUUUCGCACGCAUGUUGUCAGAGGAGCGCAAAGCCAGGCUUCGGAAGGAGGGCGAUGUUGAACUCUAG